rnacentral:rRNA from 1 species
UACGUCGGGACCGAGCGUUGUCCGGAAUCAUUGGGCGUAAAGAGCGUGUAGGCGGCUAUUUAAGUCCUGCGUGAAAUCCUGCGGCUCAACCGCAGACGGUCGUGGGAAACUGGAUGGCUAGAGUGCGGGAGAGGAGAGUGGAAUUCCCGGUGUAGCGGUGAAAUGCGCAGAUAUCGGGAAGAACACCCGUGGCGAAGGCGGCUCUCUGGAACGCAACUGACGCUGAGACGCGAAAGCGUGGGGAGCAAACAGG